rnacentral:rRNA from 1 species
GGGGCCCGCACAAGCGGUGGAGCAUGUGGUUUAAUUCGAAGCAACGCGAAGAACCUUACCAGGUCUUGACAUCCUCUGAAAACCCUAGAGAUAGGGCUUCUCCUUCGGGAGCAGAGUGACAGGUGGUGCAUGGUUGUCGUCAGCUCGUGUCGUGAGAUGUUGGGUUAAGUCCCGCAACGAGCGCAACCCUUGAUCUUAGUUGCCAUCAUUAAGUUGGGCACUCUAAGGUGACUGCCGGUGACAAANCCGGAGGAAGGUGGGGAUGACGUCAAAUCAUCAUGCCCCUUAUGACCUGGGCUACACACGUGCUACAAUGGACGGUACAAAGAGCUGCAAGACCGCGAGGUGGAGCUAAUCUCAUAAAACCGUUCUCAGUUCGGAUUGUAGGCUGCAACUCGCCUACAUGAAG